rnacentral:rRNA from 1 species
GAUGAACGCUGGCGGCGUGCCUAAUACAUGCAAGUCGAGCGAACAGACGAGGAGCUUACUCCUCUGACGUUAGCGGCGGACGGGUGAGUAACACGUGGAUAACCUACCUAUAAGACUGGGAUAACUUCGGGAAACCGGAGCUAAUACCGGAUAACAUGUUGAACCGCAUGGUUCAACAGUGAAAGACGGUCUUGCUGUCACUUAUAGAUGGAUCCGCGUCGCAUUAGCUAGUUGGUAAGGUAACGGCUUACCAAGGCAACGAUGCGUAGCCGACCUGAGAGGGUGAUCGGCCACACUGGAACUGAGACACGGUCCAGACUCCUACGGGAGGCAGCAGUAGGGAAUCUUCCGCAACGGGCGAAAGCCUGACGGAGCAACGCCGCGUGAGUGAAGAAGGUCUUCGGAUCGUAAAACUCUGUUAUUAGGGAAGAACAAAUGUGUAAGUAACUAUGCACGUCUUGACGGUACCUAAUCAGAAAGCCACGGCUAACUACGUG